GCACAUCAGUCCUUCUAGCUUGCUUAAUGCAACAUUUUUCUUUGCACAACUCACACUAUUCUUUCUAAAAUCCUGCUUUUUAUAGUCAUCUUCUUUUUCACAAAACUUGCUUUUAGUUCAACCUCUUGUUUCUUUUUUUCAGGCUUAUUCUCCAACAUUUAAAGCCCCAACUUCGGUUGCUCACUCCAUUUUCCUCCCUCGACUCAAUCACCUGGUUGCAGAUCGCGUCAAAUGAUAAUUGAGUGUUUCGAUUUCAAUUCUAGUGAUUCAAUCAUAAAUUUAUACAAAAUGAAAAUGACGUAAUUUCGUACAAGAACCAAAUGAUGCGUUUAAGUUAUCUGACAAUAAGUUGUGGCGCGGCGAGCCACAUUAGCACCACGUCUAUUUUUAAAAAAAUAGAAAUUGGGAGAAAAUAAUAAUGGUGGAAAAAUUGAAUAAAUGUGAAAGUUUUUUAUUAAAAAAAUAAAAUUUUCAAAAAUCAUGGGCAAAACUAUAUGGAUAUGGACUAAUAACAUAAAAUACAAUAUGAAUAUGGAUAGCCGAGUUAUUGAAGAAUUAAUUAGAAGAAUGUUAGUGGAGAAGUAAAAGUUUUUAAUGCAUUAUUAUCAGUAUUACAUAAAAAGGCUAUUUCUCUCUCUCAAAAAACAAAGAGGCUACCACGCAGCCCCAAACGCAACAAAUAGCCCUGCCAAAAAACCAGCUUGCUUGCAUUACAUAUUUACCAUGUAACGACGUUUCUUUUUGCCAGUUUCAAAUAAAAUCCAUUUUUUUCACCAUUAUGCAGCCACGAUAUUUCUACAAAAUCAUGACUACUCCCAUCGUAUUUCAGGCCAAAGCCAUGACUACAAACCUCAUAAUUUCGACUGCAUUUUUAGCUCUUGUUGUUUCCAUUUUGUUACUCUAUUUUGAUGCCAUCAGCAUUCAAGAUUCCAAUAUUCAUCAAGAAUUCAAGAAUGAUACCUCAUUGGUGCCCAACAAAAUUCAUGACGCCGUCGUUUUACCAAUGCCCGGCGGCGCCGUCGGGCCGGAGAGCUUCACCUUCGACAGCCGCGGCGGCGGCCCCUACACCGGCGUCUCCGACGGGAGGAUUAUCCGGUGGCAGGCGAAUGAAAGCCGGUGGGUGGACUUCGCCGUCACAUCGCCCAAGAGGUCACUUUUUCCUUUUAAUUUCUUUCUGUUCCUUUUUACGAUAUUUACAUUUAUAUUUUCAUCAUCUUUUUUUUCUUAAAUGAUAUUCUCAUCAUCAUUAACACUUCCUCUUAAUUUAUUUAUACAUAUAUGAAAUUAACCGAUAAUACUAGUAGAUUCUCGUGAAAAUUAUAUUUUCUUAAUAUUUUACUAAACAUAUAAAAUUAUUGUAUUCGUAGUAAAAUUAAUUAAAAAAAAUUAAACCUUAUAAUAUUCGAAUCUAAGUAAUGCAAUAACAGUAAAUUUUACAAUAUAAAAAUUAGAAAAAGAAAAAAAAUAUAUACCUUACGAUUUAAAUAAAGUUGUGAUUUGAACUCCGUCUCCAUCACAUAUAGGGAAACGUAAGUAAGAACCAAAACGGUUUAAGUUGGUUUCCCCUAUUUGGUGAGAUACCAUCUGCUCGCUUUGUUUUGUUUGUAUGAGCGAUAUUGCUUGCGUGUGAAAAAAUAUACUGCAUUCUGUUUCUCAAUUCUCACUGAAAAAAAUAAAAAAAUAUACUGCAUUCUGUUUCUCAAUUCUCACUGAAAAAAAUAAAAAAAUAUACUCCUGUAUUCUAUUCUGUUAUCUAUGAUGCAAACAUACAUAAAUUCUGUUACCUUACAAAAUUUUGCGGUUAAUCGUGAUAAUGAUUUAUGACGUUAUCAAGAUGUGUA
rnacentral:lncRNA from 1 species